CAUCAAGUAUUUUAAAAAAAAUUUUAUUUUUGGGUAAUAAUGAUGUAGUGUAAAUUCUAUUUUGAUGA
rnacentral:tRNA from 1 species